rnacentral:rRNA from 1 species
UACGGGGGGGGCAAGCGUUGUUCGGAAUUACUGGGCGUAAAGGGCUCGUAGGUGGCCAACUAAGUCAGCUGUGAAAGCCCCGGGCUCAACCUGGGAAUUGCGGUUGAAACUGGCGAACUAGAAUCUGGCAGAGGGGGGUGGAAUUCCACGUGUAGCAGUGAAAUGCGUAGAGAUCCGGAAGAACACCGGUGGCGAAGGCAAUCCCCUGGGCCUGCACUGACGCUCAUGCACGAAAGCGUGGGGAGCAAACAGG